rnacentral:lncRNA from 1 species
GUUCAAGAGUACACCACAAUACGAAUGGUUUUGACUUGUAACACGACUUGAAAAUGUCAAUCAUCACACUGAGACUGAGAGCUAAGCUUUUAGAUGUGCCAUCUAAGGCCCAUGCCUACCCCUUGCGCUCUUCCCAUCAGUACUUUGCUGGUAAAUGUUAAAAAGUGGGAGUAAUAAAAGUCCUGGUUUGUAGCAUUUGCUGAUUACUCUGGUGUACAUACUCCUCUGGUAUAAAUCCUUACUGAUUUCAAGCUACCAGCGUGAUGUCACUGACCAUGCUAUUGAAAAGAGAUGUUUGUAAUCAGCUCUUAGAGGCAAUAUGAACAGGCCACAGCACAUCACUGGGACCCAGCACACUGGGUCUUUUUGUUCCCACUGCACACUCUUCUGCUUUAGAGCCUUUGCAUCUCUUCCACCAGGACCACACGUGGCUGGUUACAUAUUGUUAUUCGAUUAUCAGCUGAAAUAUCACCUGUGGUAAUUAAUUUGAUGAGUCAACUUGGGUAGGCUACAGUGCUCACUUGCCUGGUCAAAUAAGAGCAAAACCAACUUGCUUGGUCUUCAUUGCCGUGAAGAUAAAUUAGGUGGGAUUAGCAUUUAAGUCAGUAGACUUUGAGUAAAACAUCUCAUCCUCCAUAAUAUGAGCGAGGCUCAUCCAACAGUUGAAGACCUUAAGAGAAAAGACUGAGGUCCCCGAAGAAGAAGAAAUUCUGCCUGCAGACUGAUUUCAGAUGCAGUAGUACAACAUCAAUCCUUCCUUGGGUUUCCAGCCUGCUGGUCUGCCCUGCAGAUUUCAGACUUGCCUGCUCCCACAGUCAUGUUUUGGACCUUUACCUAGCUUCCAACUGCCUUCUUCCACCAACAUUACUGUGGUACUCUCAUGUAUGACUUUCCCAUUUUACCAGCUUAAUAAAUGGUUCUCAGCCUGAGCAAACUGAAGCAAACUAUUGGGCAUUCCCAUUUUCAUUUCUGAAGUGACUGCUCAAAUCUUUAUUUCAUUUUAUGCCGAUGCCUCGGGAGCUGACCUAGGAUAAAUGGAAGCUACCAACUGCCAACUGUGCUGUCAGCUGUGUGGCCGGGUCAAAGGUGCUGGCUGAGCUUGCAAAUUCUGAAGGUUUGCCAGCAGUGAAGGUAUUUGCCUUAGAGGGAAAUGAUGCCUUGUACAUAUCUCAUCCCACAGUGCUGCUGAAUGCGUCCAUUUCAGGCAAUGCCCAAUUUGGAGAAAAGAAGAAGUGCAAAAAAAGAUGUUUCUUUGACCUCACCGCAAAUACGUAAAACCACCUGCAGAUCCACAGCCACUCUAAUCUUUGCCUUGGGCACACCCUUUUGCUUUAACAGUAGAGAAGAAACAAGUUUCUGUUCCCUCCGAGUGCUGGGAAGUGGCAUGACAGCUGGUUUCCAUGAGCAGAGCACAUACUCCAACCCUGCAAAGAAAAAACUCCCCACAAUGCUCUUUUAUCUAUUAAACUAAAGGGGGUUUUAUUACACUUUUGUACAUUCAAUACAUUUAUCUAAAUUUUUCUCGCAUUGAAUUAUUGUCAAGAAAAGGCUGUUCUUGCAUAUAUAUAUGUGUGUGUAUAUAUAUAUGUACUUGUGAUCAUGCAUAACUUAAAUGCUAAAUUUCUGAUUUUUUUGGAGAGGAUAACAUUUAGAAAAAAAUCUAUUGACUAAACAAAAAUCAUUUGACACAUGAGGUCAAACCUUAAUUUAGCUGUAGGAAUCAUUGUCGUAUCAAUGUGGAAGUAGAAAUAGCACUAAAAGAAUGUUCUUUUUCUCCUGAAAGAUGCACCCUCUGACCCACUUUGUGACACAUAGUGAGGAGUUCAGUAACUAUAAAUGUUACCGAUGACUCUUAUCCUUGGUUUAACUCUGGGUUCUUCUAAAUGCUUAUGUAGAGUACAAAUUAUCUGCUGAAGAGUAGCCAAGGUUGCCAAGUGAACAGCACUGAAGACGUCAGAAGGGAGUGAAGUUUGGAAGUGAAACAGCAGCCUUUAAAUAGCCCGACAACACACAUCAUGAGAUGACUUCAGUGGAUCUCCCAUCACUACGGAUUGGCUGUAAAGGAAAAAUCCUCUUAAGUGUUUAAUCCAGAAGAUAACUUUUUAUUCAAUUACUACCAGUAUAAUUACUAUACUAUUGUUCAAGAUUUUAUUCGUUCUUCCUUUUUUUGUCCACUUUGUCUUUUCUUCCUCUAGAAAUUCAGAACCUGAAUGAUUUCUCAUUUGAGUCAAUUUUGAUCACUGCAAUCAUUAAAUUAGACAUAAUUUAGAAACUUCUAAUGAAAAAAGAACAUAAUUAAGCCAAAUUAUCAGAAGUUUUAAGGAUUGAAAAUAUUAUCAAACAAUUUUUAAUAGUAUUUUUUCUAAUAAAAAUUCUGAGACAUUGGAUGAAUUAAGAUCUAUUGAUAUGAAAGAAUGCUCAUGUAACUAUGGAAAAGAAAUUAACAUUUAGUUAGUGUUCUAAUAUGCCAAGCAUUAUGCAUAUUAAACUAAGCAUUUUCCAUAUUUUUUCUCAUUUACUCUUUUUUACUGCCUUACAAAAUAUGUGUUAUUGUCCCCAGUCUACAGGGCAGAAAACUGGAAAUUCACAAAGAUUAAAGUAUUCAAGUUUAGAAAGAAACUGUUUUUAAGUGACAGAAUCCGGAUUAAAAUCCAGGUCUGCUGACCCCGAGGCUCUUUCUCUUUCCAUUUUAUCCCAUAGGAUUUUCCACUCAGCCAAAAAUUGAACUUUAAAUUUUUACAUAUUUUUAAAUUUAAAUAUAUUUUUCCUCAUUAACAACAAAAAAAUGGAAAAGAAGAAUUAUAAUUGGUAACAUUGACAUCAAUUUUUAAAAAUAUUUGUUUCAUGCAAUAAUAAAAAUUGUUUUUCUUUUAAUAGUAAAUGAUUUGAGUGAAAAAGUUAUCACCAUUGUAAAUAAAACAUAGCUUAAUUGACUUUAAUAUUGCUAGCAAAAUUAAAUUUGUACUAGGCUCAUAGAAUAAAUAAAAAGUGCAUGCAUAUUUGCCACAUUUAAUAUAGAAUGUUUUUUGUAAUUUUCAAUCUUUUUUGAGUAUACUUGCCAAAGCUGUAUUUAUUUAAGCUGUACAAUGUGGUGAUUUGACAUAGGUAUUCACUGUGAAAUGAUUGUCAAAGUCAAACUAAUGUACAUAUCCAAUCACCAAUCACCUCACAUAGUUAUGAUUUUUUGUGUGUGGUGAAAACACUUCAGAUCAACUCUCUUAGCAAAUUUUAAGUACAUGAUUCAGUGUUAUUAACUAUAGUCACCAUGCUGUACAUUAGAUUCCAGAACUUAUUCAUCCUGCAUAACUAAAACUUGUCCCUUUUUCUCCCUGUUUCCCCAUCCUCCAGCCCCUGACUACCACCAUUCUACUCUGCUUCUGC